CCGGAGCUCUGGGUGGGCGGGCGGACUCCGAGCUCUGAAUUCUCCCCCAAAGAGCCCAGGCGUCCCGGAUCUGGCCCAGCUGGGCAGCCGGUCCCUGAAGGGGAAAUGGAGAGGGACCCGCGUCCACCAGGCACUCUCGGAAACAGUCACUGUGGAUCCACUUGGGACCUGGAGCGUGUCUUGACUGUGACGCCUCGUCGGAGGGAGAACUGCGGAGAGACGGAAGACCGAGGGGAGGAGAUGUACAAUCUAGGCGGCUCUCAGAAGAUGAGGGGAGUUUGGCGGAGGAACCAGGGUUCGUGAGCCGAGGCGGGGACGCGGGGCGAGCAGCAGACAGAGGCCGACGGCGGCCUGAGCCGGUGAGGGGAGUCCCUCGGGAGCGCGUGGUGGGCCCGCUGGAUGGAGUCCCGCCACUCUGGGCCGGGAAGCCGAGAACUGCCUGAAUGACGCCUGGAGCGUGGUUGGAACAGCCGCCUUUGGAGCGGGAACUGCGCACUGGCUAAGCAGACCCUCCUGGGAGCCUGCCGGCCGGGCCUCAACCUCACGCGGGGGGAACUCGGAACCACGGGCCUGGGAUUUAAGAGGGCAUCUCUCUUAUCCAAGGCGGCAGUGUCCCGCCCACAAAGCCGGGCCCCCUGCGCCCCUGGCACAAUUGGCUUCUGUAGGAAGGGCGCUGGGGCCGCCUGAGGCUGCAGGCGGACGCAACUUAUCUUUCUUCCUUCAAAUAUCAAUUCCGGUUCUUCUCAUUCUGACAUCACCCACCAACUUUCCAAAGGAGGUGUGUUUCCUCCCAGACCUGGGGCUCCCAGCCGCACCUCCCUGUCGGCUUUUUCUGGGUGGGAAGUGGAGAGGGGUGAAAACAAAUUUAAGUUCCUGAACUGAAGGCAUUGCACAAAUCAGUUAUUUUCUACCUUGAUAAAUAAUUCAUUUAAACCUGUUUUUGUUUUGUUCCGACGCCUAAAAUGACUCAAGAGCUCAUAAGGCUGAUCGCACAGCUUGUGUUGGGUGAUUUGACAGGAUUUUUUGCUUAGAAUAAUACACAGCAUUAGCACGGGAGACAGAAAUAUUACCCGACGAAAAAAUGAAAUCUAAAAAGAAAGGAAGAGAGAAGAUGGAAGUGUUGGGGGGAAGGGCGUGUUCAUUUUUCUAAAAACUCUCAAGGGAAGCAACAAACAGAAGCUCAGUAGGCCUCACCUUGUGAAAUGUCUCGGAUGAGCUUUUCUUAAAAGGUUAAGAUCAUAGAUUUCUUUGGGUGGGAUGUUAGGAGAUCAACUCUGGAGAACGACAACUGUGAGGGAGAAAAUACGAUCUUGAUUUUUAUCAAGAUCCUACUUGGGGUCCCUACCCGGGAGGAAAAGGUAGUACUGGCCUGAAUCUCCAAAAAGGAACUUGAAGACUAGAUGGCAAACUUGAAGAAAAAAUUCUUCAGAGCUGGGGUUUUGUUUUUUAACUUUCCUCUGCUCUCUUUUCUUUAAACACGUCCCUUUCUUGCCUUUUUUCCCCCGAGUAUAUAUAAUGUUUAUACCCAAAGAAGUCGUGCACUUUUUAGCAGAGCAAGCAUAAUUAACUUUUUAUUUGAAAAUCAAAUUUCAGACCAAGAACAGGGUGCAGGGAAGUCACAUUUCCAAUCCCCACGAAUAGAAAAGGAGCUGCAUUAACUGGAUUAAUCUCUGAGUUUCCCGUUGAAGUUAACAAAGAAAUAUAGUCCCUAAACGGACAUAGGUUUGAAAACGAUCUUCCACUUUCAGGUUUUCAUUUUCUUAGAAAUAAAAGACAAAGGAAGAAAGAGAAUUCUUUAAUUUUUGAAAGAUUUUGAAAUUCCUUCAGAGAAAGCUUUUUUUUUUUUUUGCCAACUAUGAAUGAUAAAGAACUUUUGCUUGCUGGCUCUGAAGAACACAUCAGUCUUCAGCACCACUAAAGAUGCUUCCUCCCCACCACAGGGAAUGAUUCAAACAUUCGAAUAUUUUAACAAGUUCUCAAUACGUUCUCAGUGGCCCUCUUUUACAAUCAAAAUUUGGUAUUUGGGAUUGUGUUAAACUGGAGCAUAAGGUUUAAAAAAAAAACAGAACUGAACUUUGAAUAAACGCACCUAUAGAUUACAAUGAAGUUAGAACUGAUGUUUCUUCCUAUCGCAUUUAAUUUGAAUGCUUCUAAGGAUCCACUUGAUGACAAGGCCAGCUGACGGGAAUGAACUGCAAAGGCGCUUCCCUCCACUGGGCGGCGCCAAGAGCCCCAAACCGAAAGAGCCUGCUAUUGUCUCUUUUUAUAAAAGAUGCAAGAUACACAAAUAAGCUCUCCUCCUCAGGUUGACUCGCUGACGAUAGUGUGACCUCUCGCCCGGUUUACAAAGCUACAGAA